CAAUGGCUGAUAAUAAUAGACCUAUUAACUAUAUAAAUGAAUAAAAAUAGGUCAAACGCGUUGUUUUCAUAAUUGCGCAAAAAUGAAGAAGGCUGUGUUUGUUCUCAUUUUAUAUUUGUGCAACAACAUCAAUGCGUUCUGCCCUCGACGUGAAGCUUGUACUCUACAAUGUAACCCUAAAACUGUAAGCCUGAUCGAAUGCCCAUCAAAUAUCCAAUAUAAUGUACCAGCUUGCCAAUCCUGCAAGACCCAAAUCUGCCAAUG